CUGUCUCCUUUUUCUAAUCAGUGAAACUAAUCUCCCCGUGAAGAAGCGGGGAUACUACUAUAAGACGAGAAGACCCCAUGGAGCUUUAAACCCAACUACACCCCUAUUUACAACAACUACUUAACCAAUUGGACACUGUAUGCUUGGUUUUAGGUUGGGGCGACCACGGAGUAAAAAAUAACCUCCACGAUAAAUGGGCUUACCCCCUUAUCUAAGAGCCACACCUCUAAGAAUUAAAAUAUUAAUAUAAUAUGAUCCUUUCUUGAUCAACGGACCAAGUUACCCUGGGGAUAACAGCGCAAUCCAUUUCAAGAGCCCCUAUCGACAAAUGGG
rnacentral:rRNA from 1 species